ensembl:snRNA U2 U2 spliceosomal RNA
AUUGCUUCUCAGCCUUUUGACUAAGAUCUAGUAUCUGUUCUCAUCAGUUUAAAAGCUCAUUUAUUUGCCUUUAUUUAUUAGAAGAUAGAACCUCC